rnacentral:rRNA from 1 species
UGCCAGCCGCCGCGGUAACACGGGGGGCGCAAGCGUUAUUCGGAAUUAUUGGGCGUAAAGCGCACGUAGGCGGAUUAGUAAGUUAGGGGUGAAAUCCCUCGGCUCAACCGAGGAACUGCCUCUGAAACUGUCUCGCUUGAGGCCGGGAGAGGGUGGUGGAAUUCCCAGUGUAGCGGUGAAAUGCGUAGAUAUUGGGAGGAACACCGGUGGCGAAGGCGGCCACCUGGACCGGUUCUGACGCUGAGGCGCGAAAGUGUGGGGAGCAAACGGGAUUAGAUA